GGGAUAAGUUUAUUAUAAGUGUUAUGUGCGAAGUGGGUUCGAUAUCGUUGGUCCAGAGGGCCGGAGGACGUCCCACACUGCGUUUCCAAUAUACGGUCUCCACUCCAGGACAGGUCUGCUUCGACUUGCGACAGAGGUGACCAGCCCAUUGCCACUUCAACUUACUUACUCUACAAGCUAUGUAUGUCGAUUGCUUACGUUCCCUCGCAGAUAGUCCCAUUUAUAAUCCUAUCUUUGAGAGAGACCUCAAGCUGAAUCCGUUUCAUUGCACUUUGAACGACUUUAAACUUGUGAACCCUUCAUCAGUUUUCACGUCUCUGCACGAUGUAUCAA
rnacentral:misc_RNA from 1 species